AUGGAGCUGCUCAGUACGUUAUUCGCACAUCAACCUCUGGGCCGAUAAGCAUUCCGAAGGGGGCUAGCACUGUUGCGGCCGUGGUCGCAUUAUUCCAGCCACCCACCUGUUAAAGCAGGUCCGGGAGAGCUGAUUUGAAGACGGCUAUGGCGGCUCCACC
rnacentral:other from 1 species